UCUUUCUCCAUCUGACGGUUGUCUUCUUCCUGUGUUGCUGCCUCAUGUGGGCAGAUCUUUGAGUAAAGGGGGGAGAAGGCCGAGCCCUAACAUCGAUCUUCUCUCGCGAUCGAUCCACCGCUGGUUGUCAGAUCCGAGCGGGGCGACAGCAAUUCAGAUCUAGGAGGUUCAACGCUUCUUCCUCACCAGAUCUUGGACAGAGGGGUCCAACAUCGUCUUUGUCUCCCUUCACCGGGGGCCAAUUCGUCGCCAACGAAGCUGCCAUGAGGCCAAUGAUUUGUGGCUUUCUCCUCACUCUAGGGGGUGAACAUUCAAGAUUAAUGAAAGACAUAUGUGCUUUGGAUUUUGUUGAAUCGAGCAUGGGUUUCAUCAGCGCAUUCUAUUGUUGGGGAUUCAGUGGGAGAAGAGGUGGAUGUUAUUGGAGGUAAGUUGUUAGUUAAAUGCUAUGAAUUAAGAAUUAGAGUUGAAUUCUUGGUUGUGGUUGUAUUGAUAUUGAAUUGGGACAUUUGGAUUGAAAGGGGUAGCAGUUUUACCUACUUAAAACUAGCAAUACCAGUAGUGGUUUUCUCUGGUUGUGAAGCAUCAGUUGAAGCUACAUACUUGGGUGAGUGUUAGGGGGAAAUUUAUGAUAAACCUAAUCUAUUUAGGAUGUGGUAUGGUUAAGGUUAAUUUGGGGAAAAAAAUCCAUAACCAUGUUUGAUUAGAGUUACUCUAAUUUGGUGGGGGAGUUAUUUAGUUAUUUAUUUUCCAUGUAAUUAGCUAAAUACACUAUGUGAUCGUAGGACUUGAGUUCGGGAUGAGCGUCUCGACGUGGGAUCGAUUUAUCAGGGUGGACAGAUUUAAGACAAGUAUUUCUUCCUUGGUCUCUGUGUAGUUUUUCUUUAAGCUUAGUGCAUGGUUUGUAUGUGAUGGUUUAGGCUGCUUUACCUUAUAUCGUGUUCGUUGUUACUUUCCUGCUUGAUACUUAUGCUUGAUCUUUGAGGUUUCUAGUUAUAUCAUAUACAGUCUCUGCUCUUGAUAUCUACUCUGCUAUGUUCACACGUAUAGAGUAUAUAUUGUAGGGAUUGCCGAGUUGUUUGUAUUACCAUGUUGAUUGUGCAUAUGACGUGGAUUGUACAUAGGUUGAUAUGUGUUAUAGGAGUUUCUUAGAUGAUUGCCCAUUUGUAUGUCGUGUAUACAUUGGUCUGGUGUGAUGAUUGGAGGAGUUGAGUUGAUUGUAUAUUUGUUGUAUAUACACGUGUCUGACGUAUUUUUCUA